CAAUAGCGUAUAUUAAAGUUGUUGCAGUUAAAAAGCUCGUAGUUGGAUUUCUGGUCGGAAGCUCCUGUCCUCUGAUGAGCGUACAAGUGCGUCCUACCAUCCUUCUGUUAACCUUUAAGGCUUUCGCGGCUUUCUAGGGGCUCAGAUAUUUUACCUUGAGAAAAUUAGAGUGUUUCAGGCAGGCUAGCGCCGGAAUACAUUAGCAUGGAAUAAUGGAAUAGGACUUUUGCCUCUUCUGUUGGUCAUGAGGCUCGAGUAAUGAUUAAUAGGGAUAGUUGGGGCAUUAGUACUUAACUGUCAGAGGUGAAAUUCUCGGAUUUGUUAAGGACUAACUUAUGCGAAAGCAUUUGCCAAGGAUGUUUUCAUUAA
rnacentral:rRNA from 1 species